rnacentral:lncRNA from 1 species
CUACACACAAGAAGAUCGAAUCAGAAGCACAAAUAUUAUGCUAGAAAUUAACGAGUGAGGCAAACCAAAAGGAGACACAAGGAUUUGUUUCUCCGAAGUUCAGAUUCACCCCUAUGAAUCCUACGUCUCCAUUGAGGUGCCUAUUGGAAUACGAGUCUAUUUCAACUCUCUUCCAACAAGCCGGGUCUCUUUCGACUACUUUCCUUAUUUUCACUAGUUUGAUCUUUUUCCUUGCGGAGGUAAGAUCGUAGCCCUCACAAACUUACCACUGCUCACCACACCUUGGGAUCUAACCGGCGACGCCUAGCCGUCUAGGAGGCACACCUCCAAGAGUAACAAAUGCUUCAAUGCUUUCUUGACAUCAACCAUAAGUGCUCAAGCUAUGGAUUGCUCUUCUCACCUCACAAUUUCUCUCAAUUGACUUCUCUCUACAACCCAACUCACAAGAUCUCACAAGGAUCACACAACCUCACAAAG